AGUGAACGCUGGCGGCAGGCCUAACACAUGCAAGUCGAGCGGCAGCGCGUCCGACCACCCUCGGGUGGUCGGAUGGCGGCGAGCGGCGGACGGGUGAGGAAUGCAUCGGAAUCUGCCUCGUUGUGGGGGAUAACGUAGGGAAACUUACGCUAAUACCGCAUACGACCUACGGGUGAAAGUGGGGGACCUUCGGGCCUCACGCGAUGAGAUGAGCCGAUGCCGGAUUAGCUAGUUGGCGGGGGUAAAGGCCCACCAAGGCGACGAUCCGUAGCUGGUCUGAGAGGAUGAUCAGCCACACUGGAACUGAGACACGGUCCAGACUCCUACGGGAGGCAGCAGUGGGGAAUAUUGGACAAUGGGGGCAACCCUGAUCCAGCCAUGCCGCGUGUGUGAAGAAGGCCUU
rnacentral:rRNA from 1 species